UACGUAGGGUGCAAGCGUUGUCCGGAAUUAUUGGGCGUAAAGAGCUCGUAGGCGGCUUGUCACGUCGGAUGUGAAAGCCCGGGGCUUAACUCCGGGUCUGCAUUCGAUACGGGCUAGCUAGAGUGUGGUAGGGGAGAUCGGAAUUCCUAGUGUAGCGGUGAAAUGCGCAGAUAUCAGGAGGAACACCGGUGGCGAAGGCGGAUCUCUGGGCCAUUACUGACGCUGAGGAGCGAAAGCGUGGGGAGCGAACAGG
rnacentral:rRNA from 1 species